rnacentral:lncRNA from 1 species
GGAGCCAUUUUGUAAGGACCGUCACCGGAGAUAAGAAGCAGACAAAGUGCGCAGUUGGGUGCCAGACUGAUCCCCUUGUCAUGAACGGAUGCCGGAACCUACCAGAAGUAGCAAAGGUUUUACGUACUAGCCAAGCUGCUGGGAGAGCGCAAUGGUUCUCUUUUGAUAAGAUCUCACAAGUAACCUCCUCCGUUGUUGCCAGAGUCUCCCUCGACUCCUGUGAAAAGGACACGCCAUCAUGAGGCGUCUGAUAGUGACUCGAGUUACUUCUCUUUUGACACAUACGGCUUAAUCAACAACGACAGGUGAAGAAGCCGGAUGUGGAGGUCCUGGGCUGGCGUGGUUACACGUGGUCUGCAGUUGUG